CUUGUACUCAUCUAUGGCUAAGGAAAGAAAACCAGCCUGUUUGAAACAGCCAGCCAGACUGAGAAAUCACAAGGAUUUUGCUCAACCAGAUCCCUCCCAGACAAUGAUCAGGAUCUUGGAGAGAGGUCCACUCCAUACAAACAGGUCCUUCAGAACCCUGCUUGUGGGUACUGCUUAAAGCAGAGCAGCACAUCAGUGAAACUCUGUUCUGUACUGACACCUACAAACACCACGGAACCAACAACAGCAGCAACCACCUUCACCUCCACCAAUGUUUAACCUGCCAGGAGUGAGCCAGAAACCUUUUUGCCUCCUGUGCUUGCCAUCCUGCUUCCUUUCUCCACCCUAAUCCAGAGCCAGGGCUUCUCAGGAGGAUUGUCCUCUUCAUCCCUCCCUGACAAGGUGAGUGCCCAUCUCAGAUCCCAGCAGGGCU